GGUGGCUCAGUGGUAGAGUACUUGCCUUGCGUGCAUAAGGUCCUGGGUUCGAUUCCUCAGCACCA
rnacentral:tRNA from 1 species